AGGUGUACGAGAGGAUCGAAGGUGCGAAGCAGAGGAUGAUGGUUGAGCUGGAGAAGCAGAGGAUGGAAGCUGCGAAGGAGCUUGAGUUGCAACGGAUGAACAUGUUGAUGGAUAUGCAGAUGGAGCUUGAAAGAUCCAAACUUGGCAAACGUAGAGCUGCUGCUGCGUCAGGGAAGAAGUUGUAGGGAUUAGAUAGUGGAGAAGCUAUACUGUGGUUGAGAAAGGAGCAUCUGAGAGCUCAUUCGCAAUUGGAGAGACUGUUAUUAUUCUUACUCACUAGGUUUUAAGUUAGAGCAAUGCUUUUUUUCUUCUGUUUACUUCUCUUCUUUAGGGUACAUUGGUGGUAGCAAAGCAGACUGGUGAAAGAAACGCUUGUAGUAAUCUGACAGACAUAUCAAUCAACAUGUACUUUUGUCAA